GGGCAAGUCUGGUGCCAGCAGCCGCGGUAAUUCCAGCUCCAAUAGCGUAUAUUAUUAUUGUUGCGGUUAAAAAGCUCGUAGUUGGAUCUCGGUUUCGAGCGUGUGGUGCACCUUGCGGUGUUUACUAUAUGCUCGGACGAUUUUGUUGGUUCGUUUAUGGUUCUCUUAAUCGAGUGCCAUAAGUGGCCAGCACGUUUACUUUGAAAAAAUUGGAGUGCUCAAAGCAGGCGCUACAGCCUGAACAUUAGUGCAUGGAAUAAUGAAAUAGGAUCUCGGUUCUAUUUCGUUGGCUUUCGGAGUCGAGGUAAUGAUUAAUAGGGACAGACGGGGGCAUUCGUACUGCGACGUUAGAGGUGAAAUUCUUGGAUCGUCGCAAGACGAACUACUGCGAAAGCAUUUGCCAAGAAUGU
rnacentral:rRNA from 1 species